rnacentral:rRNA from 1 species
UUUUAUAAUAAAACAUUUUUUUUUUAAAGUACACCUGAUCUCGUCUGAUCUCAGAAGCUAAGCAGGGUCGGGCCUGGUUAGUACUUGGAUGGGAGACCGCCUGGGAAUACCAGGUGCUGUAAGCU